CUAUUUAGAUGUCCUCUUCAGUAUGAUUCCAGUGCCAUGAACUUGGCCACUAGGCUUCAUAUUUAAUGUGGAUAUCAUAAAUUAUUUGACUUGUGAUGUACUGUAUAUAUUUAACUUCCUUAUUAUGGUUACAUCACACAGCUAUCUACUCCGGUACUACAUAUUCUAACUGGUAAUAACACUGAAAUAGUUCUAGUUCUUUAUUUUUUGAAAUCACUUUAACAGGUAACAAAAACUUGACUAUUGGAAGACAAUUUAUCUCUGAUUGUUGCUCCUCUCUGUACAAUUUGGCAGGGCUGAUAUGCUCCAGUUCCAUCAGUUAAACAAUGGCACCUUAUGGGACCAAGUGCCACUUUCUCUGUUCCAGUGCCUGCCCAGUGGAAAAAUCUGUCCCCUCCCAAAUUUGUUUGGCCCAUCCCUGUUGGCCUUUAAAAAAGCCCUGAAGAAAUGGGACUUCCUACCUCUGCAAGGAGCUAUGCAAGAAAGACAGAUAUGCCUGCCAUAUAAUACAAGUCAUGGAUCUGUAUCUUGGCAAGUUUCUUCUUACUGGAAUCUUUGUCACAAAAGAUUGAGAAGUUAUCUAUACUAAUGAUGCAGCCAUACCGUGACCAUACGGUAAAUUUAAUCUCAUCUUUUGUCUUCAUCCACACAUUAAAUACGUAUUGACGGAAUGGGACAAUUUGCUGUGGCCACCUGGAUGCUGCCACCUGGACACUGGACACAAGCUGAAGGAGAGGUCUUUCUCCUCAAGCCCGGGUGCGACUGGUAGCUUGCCAGCACGGAUGCAGAUAAAAUUCCCCAAGCUCAGAAUGAUGUGUGU